rnacentral:rRNA from 1 species
AACGAACGCUGGCGGCAUGCCUAACACAUGCAAGUCGAACGAGACCUUCGGGUCUAGUGGCGCACGGGUGCGUAACGCGUGGGAACCUGCCCUUAGGUUCGGAAUAACUCCCCGAAAGGGGUGCUAAUACCGGAUAAUGUCUUCGGACCAAAGAUUUAUCGCCUUUGGAUGGGCCCGCGUUGGAUUAGCUAGUUGGUAGGGUAAAAGCCUACCAAGGCGACGAUCCAUAGCUGGUCUGAGAGGAUGAUCAGCCACACUGGGACUGAGACACGGCCCAGACUCCUACGGGAGGCAGCAGUGGGGAAUAUUGGACAAUGGGCGAAAGCCUGAUCCAGCAAUGCCGCGUGAGUGAUGAAGGCCUUAGGGUUGUAAAGCUCUUUUACCUGGGAUGAUAAUGACAGUACCGGGAGAAUAAGCGCCGGCUAACUCCGUG